AGUUUGAUCCUGGCUCAGGAUGAACGCUAGCGGCAGGCCUAAUACAUGCAAGUCGAACGGUGAUAGCAAUAUCAUAGUGGCGCACGGGUGCGUAACACGUAUGCAACCUACCUAUUAUUGGGGGAUAGCCUUUGGAAACGGAGAUUAAUACCGCAUAAUACGAUUGACUGGCAUCGGUUGAUUGUUAAAGCUUCGGCGAUAAUAGAUGGGCAUGCGUCCAAUUAGUUAGUUGGUUAGGUAACGGCUGACCAAGACGAUGAUUGGUAGGGGAUCUGAGAGGAUAAUCCCCCACACUGGCACUGAGAUACGGGCCAGACUCCUACGGGAGGCAGCAGUAGGGAAUAUUGGGCAAUGGGCGGAAGCCUGACCCAGCCAUGCCGCGUGCAGGAAGAAGGCGUUAUGCGUUGUAAACUGCUUUUUUAUAGGAAGAAGGAUCCCUUGCGAGGGAAGGUGACGGUACUAUAAGAAUAAGCACCGGCUAACUCCGUGCCAGCAGCCGCGGUAAUACGGAGGGUGCAAGCGUUGUCCGGAUUUAUUGGGUUUAAAGGGUGCGUAGGCGGUUUAUUAAGUCAGUGGUGAAAGACGGUCGCUCAACGAUUGCAGUGCCAUUGAUACUGGUAGACUUGAGUGAGAUUGAGGU
rnacentral:rRNA from 1 species